rnacentral:rRNA from 1 species
GAUCCUGGCUCAGGACGAACGCUGGCGGCGCGCCUAACACAUGCAAGUCGAACGGAGUUUACGGGACUGAUCCUUCGGGUGAUCGAACGCAAACUUAGUGGCGGACGGGUGAGUAACACGUGAGCAACCUGCCCUACAGUGGGGGAUAACGUUUUGAAAAGAACGCUAAUACCGCAUAACGUACCGGAAGGGCAUCCUUCCGGUACCAAAGGAGCAAUCCGCUGUAAGAUGGGCUCGCGUCCGAUUAGCCAGUUGGCGGGGUAACGG